UAUUUAUUUAGCCAUUACAUUCCAAAGUAAACCUUUUGUAUGUUCUUAUCGUAAGGGAACAAUUUGUAUUUGUUUAAGCUUACUUGUUGUUCAAUGUUUUAAAAAAGUUUCGACACUAUAUUCACAAUAUUUUUGACCCAUCUAUGGAUUAAAAAGAUGAUGGCCAAGGAAAUGGUGAACAACACAUCAAUCGGAUGGCAGCCCGAAUUCGAGUAUCAAAAGUGAUACCUCUACCUGCCGUGCCAGCGUGUGGUUUUGGUGGAGGUGAUACCCAAUAUUUAGCUGUAUCUGGGGCAAAUGCUAACAAUGGAAACGGCAAAGGAAAUAUCGGGAAAACGAACAGAAGACGUGAUUAAUACGCGUUCCUCUUAGUGAUCAUUAUCUUCCUAGAACAUCUUUCUUAUUUCAUUUUUAUCAGCAUGUAACGAACUGUUCAGAAGUGUGUUCAAUCGUUUAAGAUGGACGAAGGGAGGUAACUGAAACUGUGAAAAAGAACCGAAUUCAAAUCAUUUGUAUAAAUUUAAUUUUGAUUGAAGUGUAAAUCUAUAGCAACGGAUGUGAAUAAUAACAAACAAAGAUAUUAAAUUUAAAUAAUUAUUUUUGUAUUUGAUUAACUUAAAUAUAUGUUAAAAGUUAAGAUUGAUAAAUAAACUUACAGUUUAUUUCAUAAGAUAUGUCAAUUUAUGUGCAAAUGACAAAGCGAGACAACUGAAACGAAAUGGGUUAUUAAAAUGCGUUUUGAGCUCUCACAUACUUAAAUAUAAUUUUGCCUGAUUCGAGUUUAACUGUUUAAUGUAUUUCACAAAUAUGUAUUCUUCUUCGCACUCCAUUAGGCCAAAUAAAAAAUAGGUCUGUUUCAGGUUAAUCGACCGACCCUAUUUUUUUCCCGCCGACCCUAACCUAUUUUUCCCUGAAAAAAAAUGUGAUUUGGGUACGAAAAGCAUUUGUUACGAAAUGUAUGUACGUAAAGUUGACAAUAUUAGAGUUGGAUUUCUGAAUGUAUUUAUCGUACUUCACCUUAGAGUUUGGACACCUUGAAAUUAUUAAUUUUUCGCUCUCCGAAUUCAUAGAAAAUAACCAUUUUUACAUAUCUACAUGUAUGGUAAACCUGCCUUUUUUCUUCAUGUCUACAUUUUACCAAUUAUUAAUUUAUCCGUAGUUAUCAAUGGUUAGUACGCCUAUAAGUGUAACUCCUUCAUCAAGUUAAUUAAAAUCUCAUUCAACACCAUUUUAUACAUGCAUUGAAAUGAAUAAACAUCUUUUAUCGGCUUCAGAUCAAACAGUCACAUUGUGUGACGUCACAUAACUCUCAGUUAUACCCACGAGGAUCUCAUGGAGAGCAUGGAUAUUGCUAUGCAGGAUUAAUAUUUCUGAGUGGUGUUUUCGAUUGUAUCUUAAGUAUUGCAUUUCUAACUUUAAUUCAUCACAUUAAAUAGUUACCUGUAGCAUUGAAUGUGUUGAUUUUUAUUGUUCUAUUGAUGUUACAAUGAGUAUUACUGUACGAUUAUUGCUUCAUAAAGUCUAUAUUAAAAGUGUGGUACAGGUUUCAAAGUUUAUUGGCGGAUCGUUUUACAAACAUGUCAUGUCUGUGUUUUCUUAAUCUCUUGAUUGCCCUUGUUGUUUCUUUAAUCCUCCAUUAAAUAUAUCACACAUCCUUUUCAACAGGCAAUAAAUCGUUUAGGAUGGGUAGUAACUAACUAACUUAUCACAGUGAUGUAUACGGUUAGGCAAUCUAGCCAGGCAUUGUAAGGAUAAAGAUCAAUAUUUUUUGUCUGUGAGACUUAGUGACUGUAAAAGUUACAAUCGAUGUCCUUUGGGUGUCCGAAAAUUAGGUACCUAAAAUAAAUUAUUUUUGAAAAUAUAAAUGGAUGUCCGAAUUUUUAGAUUGUCCGAACUCUAAGAUAAAUUGCGGGUAGUUUGUGCUUGUGUGGCAGGUAUAUUUCAAUUCUUGAACUAUAUUUUCUUGUCAGAUACAAAUGUGUCAGAUACUGACUUUCGGAUUAAUAUAUCAGACUUAAGUGUGCAAUUUUGGCAAUAAAACCUGCAUGUUACUUGUUCUUCAAACCUGAACCCCCAGGUCCUCUUGACAGCAUUGAGGUUUCCUUGGCUGAUGGCUUAUAUGGUAAAUCUGCUGUCCCACUCUUCAUUUAAUUAUGUUACAGGGAGGUUAGCAUUCUACAGAGGGUGAUUGAAAGCAAAAGGGUGCAUACAGAAAAGUAAAACCGUUCCUGGAAAGUUUAAAUAAUAGCAGAGUGGUGUACCAUAACUUAGUUGAAAUCCAACCAUCAUUGUCAAAGUAUUUAACCAGACAAAUAAAGAAUGUUUCCUUUGAAGCAUGGAACAUGUUUAAAAACUACUGAUAAACCUGAAAAUUGAUGACUUUUAUUUUUGUUACUUUCUAAGUCAACAGUUACUGAAAUCAAUAUAUCAAAAAAAUAAUAUAAAAAAUAUAAAAAUAUUCCGACCUACCUACCGUAUAUUUUUGGCAGCGUUACCUGAAACGCACCUAUUUUUUAUUUGGCCUUAUGAUUGAGCAUGUAUGAAUUAAUGUUAUGGAAAUUGCCCUUAGACUUUAGAAUCACGUCAAUAAAACAUUAAACAUACUAUUGUGUGUCUCACAUACUUUGAAACAAA